AGUGUGGCUGGCUUGCAGACAAUGCGGGAGGGAUGGUGAAGAGGAAGUGUCCAUGUGGCUCCGUGUCGAUGUUAGAAAAGGCGAAAUGGAAGGAGUGUGCCUGACACUUGGAGCAGAAGGUGGGGAGAUUUGGGAUAGAUGGAGCUGUGCAGCAACAGAUCAUUACUCAGGAAAGAAUGCCAUGCGGCAAGUAGGAGAGGCCUGAAGUCAUUUCCCGAAUGGCCCCAGGAGACUUUGAAUAUUCCUUCAAAGCGGGUGAUGUCAUCAAAGAGACCACAGGAGGUGAGGAGUGCGUGGAGCGCCUCCCUACAGAGCAGAGACACCGAUCCAGCAUGUGCUGAAAUUCAUCUCUGGUAAGCAAAGCACUAGUGCACAUGCUUACCUUUGAGCACGCAUUUCAGGGCCAUUGCCGCCAAUGGGACUUCAGCACAUGCCUGACGAGAAGCACAUGCUCUGGUGCUUUGCGGAAUAGGACCGGUCUGCUCAACUGGGGCCAGGGAGUACCAAGCUGCCGUGAAACAAUGUGCCAGG